rnacentral:rRNA from 1 species
GACGAACGCUGGCGGCGUGCUUAACACAUGCAAGUCGAACGGAAAGGCCCUGCUUUUGUGGGGUGCUCGAGUGGCGAACGGGUGAGUAACACGUGAGUAACCUGCCCUUGACUUUGGGAUAAAUUCAGGAAACUGGGGCUAAUACCGGAUAGGAGCUCCUGCUGCAUGGUGGGGGUUGGAAAGUUUCGGCGGUUGGGGAUGGACUCGCGGCUUAUCCGCUUGUUGGUGGGGUAGGGGCUUACCAAGGGUUUGAGGGGUAGCCGGCCUUGGAGGGGGACCGGCCACAUUGGGACUGAGAGACGGCCCAGACUCCUACGGGAGGCAGCAGUGGGGAAUAUUGCACAAUGGGCGGAAGCCUGAUGCAGCAACGCCGCGUGCGGGAUGACGGCCUUCGGGUUGUAAACCGCUUUCGCCUGUGACGAAGCGUGAGUGACGGUAAUGGGUAAAGAAGCACCGGCUAACUACGUG